GAGGGUAUAGCUCAAGUGGUAGAGUGCACGCUUAGCAUGCAUGAGGCCCUAGGUUCAAUCUUCAGUACCUUCU
rnacentral:tRNA from 1 species